rnacentral:rRNA from 1 species
CCUACGGGUGGCUGCAGUCGAGAAUCUUCGGCAAUGAGCGCAAGCUUGACCGAGCGACGCCGCGUGCGGGAUGAAGGCCUUCGGGUUGUAAACCGCGAAAGUAGGGAGGAAAUUGCUAGGGGUUCUCCCCUAGUAUUGACCUAUCUUCAGUAAGGACGGGCUAAGUUCGUGCCAGCAGCCGCGGUAAUACGAACCGUCCAAACGUUAUUCGGACUUAUUGGGCUUAAAGGGUACCUAGGCGGUCGUGUAAGAACGCCCUCGGCUCAACCGAGGAACUGCGCCCGAUACUGUGGGGCUUGAGGGAGACAGAGGUAAGCGGAACUGAUGGUGGAGCGGUGAAAUGCGUUGAUAUCAUCAGGAACACCAGUGGCGAAAGCGGCUUACUGGGUCUCUUCUGACGCUGAGAUACGAAAGCUAGGGGAGCGAACGGGAUUAGAUACCCUAGUAGUC